rnacentral:rRNA from 1 species
GACGAACGCUGGCGGCGUGCUUAACACAUGCAAGUCGAACGGUAAGGCCCUUCGGGGUACACGAGUGGCGAACGGGUGAGUAACACGUGGUGAUCUGCCCUGCACUUUGGGAUAAGCCUGGGAAACUGGGUCUAAUACCGAAUAUGACCAUGGACUUCACGGUUUGUGGUGGAAAGCUUUUGCGGUGUGGGAUGGGCCCGCGGCCUAUCAGCUUGUUGGUGGGGUAAUGGCCUACCAAGGCGACGACGGGUAGCCGGCCUGAGAGGGUGACCGGCCACACUGGGACUGAGAUACGGCCCAGACUCCUACGGGAGGCAGCAGUGGGGAAUAUUGCACAAUGGGCGCAAGCCUGAUGCAGCGACGCCGCGUGGGGGAUGACGGCCUUCGGG